rnacentral:rRNA from 1 species
AACGAACGCUGGCGGCAUGCCUAACACAUGCAAGUCGAACGAGACCUUCGGGUCUAGUGGCGCACGGGUGCGUAACGCGUGGGAACCUGCCCUUAGGUCGGAAUAACUUCCCGGAAGGGGUUGCUAUACCGGGUUAUUGUCUUGGAACAAAGGAUUUAUGCCUUUUGAUGGGGCCGGGGUGGGUUUAGAUAGUUGUUAGGGUAAAAGCCUACAAAGGGGAGGAUCAAUAGUUGGUCUGAGAGGAUGAUCAGCCACACUGGGACUAGGACACGGCCCAGACUCCUACGGGAUGCAGCAGUGGGGAAUAUUGGACAAUGGGCGAAAGCCUGAUCCAGCAAUGCCGCGUGAGUGAUGAAGGCCUUAGGGUUGUAAAGCUCUUUUACCCGGGAUGAUAAUGACAGUACCGGGAGAAUAAGCUCCGGCUAACUCCGUG